UUGCCUUACACUGGAAGAAAGGUGCAGUUUUCAUUUCCAUGUCAUUGGGUCACUGGUGUGUUCUAUUACAUGGUACAAUGGUUUCCUCUUGGUCUGAGGAAGUGUACGUAAAUACAUUUGCCUCUACAUUUAAUCAGGAACUUCAAAACUCGGCUGAAGUUCAUGUGUCCCUUAGGCUUUACGAUUAAACUGAAAUCUUGGAAGACUGAUCUUAAUUCAUGAAAACAACUUGAAACAAUGAAAGAACUGGUUCGCCAAAAGAUGAAUCAGUAUCAAGAAAUAUAGUACCAGGGAGCCAGCGCAACAGAUUAAAGCGCUUGCUGCUAAGCUUGACAACCUAAUUUAACCCCCAGGAUGGAGCCAUAUGAUAGGAGAGAACCAACUCCCAUAAGUUGUUCCCUGACCUCCACACAUACACACAGCAAAAAAGAUAAACAUUUUUAAAAAAAAAGUAAGAAAGCAGAGCACAGAGCAGUAGUCAUCACCUGUCGUGGUGGUCUAUAGGAGUUAACAGCACCAUGACUUCUGUUAAAGAACGUAACAAGUUUUUGCUAGAGUCCAAUGGCCAUGCACAACAACGUGUAAGGUUCAGUAGACUCUCCCACCAUCUCUAUCACCAGCCAUAUCAAUUGUAAUAUAUUAAUCUAAUUUGGUAUCCCACAACUUUUGGAAGGCUUAAAUGUUUAAAAACUUAUGAAAGACUCCAGGAAAAGUCAAAUGGAUUAGGUCUCACCUUGGAGAAGCAGUUCAAAGAGGGCUUAAUUCAUGACCUCUGGGUGUAUUUAGUACCAUAGAUGCUGGUGUUUGGGGGUAGUUCAUUUUAGAAUGAAUGUAUAGAAAUGUUAUAGGUUUCAGAGAGACAGGCUAAUGGGAGGAAAUAGCAAAUGUUUAGCACUUGCACUGUAUCAGGGACAUGAUGUACAUUAUCAUACACACACACAGAAAACUACAAAAAAUUGAGACUAGAUAAGAGGGAAGUAAAGUCAAUGCCAAUGUCCUUUACCUUGUAUUAGCAAUAAGGACUGUUUACUUUCAAAGCCUGUAUUACCACACCUAGUCACUACAAUACUGCAUCGGGCAAGCCUGUGGAAUCUUCUUCCUUCAUUAAAUGCAAAAACAGUUUCUAGAGAUGUGUACCUUAAAUAGUGAUCUAGGCCAGUCUAGAAACAGAAAAAUGAGCUAAAUUCCUAUGAGGCUAACUGCCUUCGGCCUUGAAAUUUUAGAUUAAAACUCAAACCAGCACAGAUGUAGUCCAAGGUUUUUAUUGGGUACACACUUUACUUAUUUUAAUCAAUAAAGAUUUGAGCCGGUUGGUGGUGACACAUACCUUUAAUCCCAUCACUUGGGAGGCAGAGGCAGGUGGAUCUCUGUGAGUUUGAGGCCAGCCUGGUCUACAGAGCGAGUUCUGGGACAACUAGAGCUACACAAAGAAAUCUUGUCUCAAAAAAAAAAAAAAUUGAGACCUAUAGCAUGAGUAAGAUUUAGAUAUUUAUAUCCCAACAUUUUCUCCACCUACUUAAAUAUCCAAAAUAAGGAAUCAGUCCAAUCAACUAGAGCAUAACCAAACAAUGGGCUUUCUAUAUUAUGGUUAGAUUUAUGUGGUAGAAGUUUUAAUGACUUAUGGAAAUGUUUAUGAUAUAUUUCUAAAUAAAUAAAAGCCCAGAAAAACAAUACCACAUUAUUAAGUGUAUUUUAAAUUUGAUUUAAAUAUUUAUUUACAUAUGCAUGUAUGAAAACAACUGGGCAGAAGUAGACCAGAACAUUAACAGUGGUUUUACUUAUGAGUACUAUAAUAUCUGGGGACUUUGUGCUACAUUUUUGUAAACUGAACAUGUCCUCACAUAUAUUGCUAGAAAGAAUGCUUUACACACUGCACAGGCAUACACAGUGUUUCCUGCAAAUGUUUCACAAUUUAUAAAUAGGAUAAUAAGGUAUUAUGAAUACAAUUAUAUAGGAAAGUUUAUUAAAUGGCAUAGAGCCCAUAGUUGGCGGCAAACUCGAACUUUACCCACGUUGCAUAUAAAAUUGGCUCUCCAUGCACUUUCUUAUUAUGCUAAAAUGAUCAUAUAUAACUGCCUGAGUCCCUUUAACUCUUGCCUAAGUCCCUUUAUUCAGAAUGCACACAGAAAACACAGCAGAACGUACAGUACUUUGUAUGAAAAUUAAAAUAAUCAUACCUAGCUCAAGAAGUUUUUAAAAAUCGAAGUAAAACAAGACUUCUAAAGCUCCUAGCACAGUGCCUGGAGCACAGUUAACAUUCAGCAAGUUUCAUCUGUUUGGAGAAUUAUGCUCUUACUGUUGAGGAAUUCUACAGAAGAGAAUGGUUGUUGAUCCAAGAAACUCCUGUCAACCACUAGUACACAUACUUGUUUUUAAAUAGCCUUCAAUUAAUAAAGGUGGAGUCCAAAGGAAUCUUUGACACAUCAUAAUUAUAUAGCUCAUUUCAUUCUUCUUACUUAAUGAGUAACAAAAGCAGGAAAUUAAGCCAUGACAUAAUUCAGUUUUUCCUUAAUUGUCUGACUUGGGUUUGUGCAACCAAAAUAAAUUGAGAUAAAAGGAAAAUGUUAAGACUUUUAUAAACAGUUUCCGAUUUAGAUACUCCUUUAAAAUAAUAUUUAAAAGUGUAUCUAAAAUUCUUUGAUGAAAAUAGCACUGCCCAUUGCCCAUUUGAGAACACAUACUUGUUAAAUAUGUUUUAAUCAUCUAUGUUUAGUUAAAAAAAAGAAGAAGAAAUGUUUAGUUCCACAUUUUGUAACGGGUUUAACUCAAGAAUAUGGAUUAAGGUAAGUAUGGUUAGUAUCGAUUGUCAACUUGACGGGGUCUGGAGUCAGUUAGGAGACAAACCUCUGGGCAUAUAUGUGAGGGAGUUUCUAGACUGGGUUGACUGAGGUAAGAAGAUCCAUCUUAAAUGUGUGUGUCUUCAUUUCAUUAGCUGAAUAAAACAGAGAGAAUGAGCUAAGCGCUAGCAUUCUUCCCUUUUUACUUCCUGACUGGGGAGGCAAAGUGACCAGCUGCCUCAUGCUCUGGACCCCACUUCUUCUUUGCCAUGAUGGACUCUAUUCUCAAAAUGUGAAUCAAAAUAAAUGAAUGCUCCCUUUCUUUAGUUGGCUUUUAUCCAUCCUUUCUUCUUCUUUGACACAGUCUCACUUUGUAGCCCUGGUUGGCCUGUAAGGAUGUAGACCAGAUUGGGCUGGAAUUUACAGAGAGCCACUUGCUGUUGUCUCCGUGGUGCUGAGGUUAAAGGUGUGUGUUACCAGAUCUGGCCCUUUAGUUACUUUUUAGUGUUUUGUCACAACAAGAAGAAAAAUAACUCAAUGAUAAACAUCACAUUUCAAGACUAGGAAGAAAAGUCUCAUGACACUUCCCUAAACUAGUAUAAUUUCUAAAUGUAUCCUAAUAUUUAUCUUGAUACCCACAGCUAAGUAUAGUUCUCAACCCUCAUGAAAGGAAUUUCUCUUGGCAGCUGAUGGAGGCCAUUACAAAGAUCCACAACUGGCCAGAACACAGAGAAUAAGUGGUCAUGGGGUACCCAACCCAACUGCUACAUCUACAACAUAACCCUAUACCUGAGGUUCAGGGGAAACCGGGCAGAGGGAGAAGAAAGAUUGUAAGAGCCAAAGGACCAAAGAUACCUGCUACAAGAUAGUAUCUUCCAGAUGUGGCAGGGAAGCUGCGCCCAUGCUCUCUCAACAAUAUGGUUGCCUCAACAAGACCGGCAUAAUGACACUACCAGUUGACAUGCCAAUGUAGAUAGGGGAAAUGUCACAAGUCCCCACUCCCAGAUGAAGAGAUACAGGCAAUCAAUGGCUUUGGAGAGAGGGAGAACCAGUUUUCUUCAGGGCCUAGUCACCUGAUAGGUUCUCCAAUCCCAAGCAAUCAGCCCUACACACACGUAAAUGUAAGCAAUACUAAAUAAACUCAGUAAGUUUUUCUAUAUGUAUAAAUAUGUCAUGUAUGUGUAUGCAUGUCUUCAUAUGUAUGUAAAUACACGUAACAACAAUAACUAAAGAAGAGGUUAUGAAUUGGAGUCGGAAUGGAAGAAGGAUGGGUAGAACUACUAUAAAUACAGUAUUCCUGAAGGGCAUUCACAAAAAAUGAAAAAUGAAAAAAAAGAACAAAAACUCCAGUUACCUUGUGAAGAUGAUGCAAUUAUAGUUGAUAAAAUAGUUCCUCAGAAAUAUGUGGGGGUUUUAAACAUUUAAGUUUAGUCUUAUUUAUGGACUUUCUCUAUUUGUGAGCUGAAGAUUUACUUAGGGGAGAAAACAACAACAAACAAACGACUUGUGGCAAAUACUUUUGUUGUUUGAAAAAUGAGAAUGUCUCCUGCCAAAUGGAACCCUUUCAAAAACUCAAUUAGCAGUCAGGCAUGGCAGUGCACACUAGAGUCCACAGUACACUAUAGCACACAGGAGACUGAGGCAGGAGGAUCAUGAGGUUAAGUUCAGCCUGGGCUACAGAGGCUCCAUCUCAGGAAAUAAUACAGUUAGGGGCUAUACCUCACAUAGCAUCCCUACCCUUUCUCAUCUUGUCUUCUGACCCUCAGGAACACUGUGUGUCUGUCUACUCCUAGGACCACUGCUAAUGCAUGCUUUUGCAGGUGAGAGCUACUACCUUCCUGUCAUUCUUCAGGCUUCUCCCUUUUCCUGGAAGAAGUCCUGGGAGAUGUACACAAAGCCUUGCCCACCCUCACCUAGCUUGUUUAUUAGCUAACAGGUUCAUUUUGUGCCCCAGGAGGCCAGCUAUUGAGAGAGGAAGGAGGAGGAGACUGGAGCUCGUUCAAUGUCUCGGCACCAUUCAGUAUGAAGCAAGGGGCUGUGUGACUCCAGAUUUGGAAAGCAAACAGUAACUGCCAACAUGAGGCAGAAUGCUUAAAAAGAGCAUGGAUUUCCAUUUCAGAGGGCCUGCCAGAGACCGAUUUCUCAGGAAACAGAAAGAACACAUUUGGACCUGUAAGAUUAAAGGAGGCUUCAGGAGGAUCAGUCUUCUGUGGAUAGCCUUUCCCAGGCAGCACAAGAGCCCACCUGAAUGAUGAGAGACACAUCACAAGGUCUGCCUGGCCUGACUUUCUUUGUUCAUCUGUCAAAUCUGGUAAUUAAACUGGUCCAGCAAAAGACAUGGUAUUCAUAAUUAGAAUGAGUCUGCAAUUCCUAUGCCUGAUGAAUUUUUUAGAACCACAUUAAGUGAGUAACAGGAAACUUGAAGAUUAAAGAAAAGAACCACACACGCUUCUUGAGGUAAAAGGGUAGCUGACAGAAUCUGUUGUCUCUGAGGAAAGAAAAAUAAAGAAUUCACAUCACAUGAUGGCGUUUUAUUCUACUCUAAGAAAGCAAUGGAAGACAUGGGGGAAAAAAAAACUUUACCAAAACCUAAAUGUCAAAAUAUGAGCAUUUUGCCUUUAUUUCAAUCUAGAAAUAAAUAAAUAAAAUGUCAGA